GCUUAACACAUGCAAGUCGAGCGAGAAUCGUUUAUUGAAGGCUUCGGCUGGAAAUAGAUGAGGAAAGCGGCGAACGGGUGAGUAACGCGUGGGCAACCUGGCCUUAAGAAAAGGAUAGCCCCCGGAAACGGGGAGGAAUACUUUAUGAACAUGAGAGCGGGCAUCCGACUUGCAUUCAAAGCGCAAGCGCUUAAGGAUGGGCCCGCGUAUCAUUAGCUAGUUGGUGAGAUAACAGCCCACCAAGGCAACGAUGAUUAGCCGGUCUGAGAGGGCGAACGGCCACAUUGGAACUGAGAGACGGUCCAAACUCCUACGGGAGGCAGCAGUGGGGAAUAUUGCGCAAUGGAGAAGAACUCUGACGCAGCAAUACCGCGUGAGCGAAGAAGGUCUUCGGAUCGUAAGGCUCUGUUAUCAGGGAAGAAGAAAGUGACGGUACCUGAUGAGCAAGUCCCGGCUAACUACGUGCCAGCAGCCGCCGUAAAAC
rnacentral:rRNA from 1 species